UUUUUUUUUUUUUUUGUUAAUUCAUGUCUGUGAAUAUUGAGCAGGAUUCACAGCAUACGCUUUGGUAUGUACAAAGUGAUUUCUAUGCAAAUCAUGCAAGCUGGAGAGGUAAAAGUAGACCUUUGUUUGUCUAUUUGAUUGCUGUGGGAGGUACAGUUUUCAAAGGUUUACAAUAUCCAUAUAGUGUCUAUGAAGUACAUGGUAGUAGUUGAAAUUUAGAAAACAAGUACAACAUAAAUGUGUGAUAGAAGGCUUCUGUCAUCUUCGGGAUUUUGACUUAAAGGCAGUUGUUUUACAGUUUUUUGAUUUUGCCUUCAAUACUUUUUCCCAGUGCUGUUUUCUGUCAUGAACUUCAUCCCAUUACUUAGUUUGCCUUGGCUCAAAGGUUACUGAAGUAAUUUAUUUCCAUCCUUGGAUGUUAACAGAAAAGUGAAGAAUGAUUACAAGUUUUGUUACUUCCGUAGUUUUCACGUGUUAGUUAGAGAAGAAAUCUGGAACUUUGUAUUUCCACGAAGCUCCCUCCAAAGAGGACGAACGGUAGAUGUCAGAUUUUUAGUUUUCUUUUGGUUUAGCACCAUUACAUUUUUGUGCAUAGUAGCAGGAGUGGAAACAAACUGGUCAAUGGCUAGUAUUACAUACUAUUAGGGAAUUAAAAACAAGUUGGAGUGGGAGUUCUCUUUCACUCUGUGGAGAAAAGGUAAAAUAAUGAGAUCCUAGUAGUUAAUUGGAGGUCAAACUGCAGUCAUGUCUAACAGUGUAAGAAGUAAUAUCUUUACAUUUUGCACAGAUUAUUAAGCUGUUGAGUUUUUCUUUUGUGUUUUUUGCCCUUUUUUUUUUUCCAUUUAACUACCUACUCCGCUGAAUCAGGGUGAACGUGGCCCUCCUGCUUUGUUGGUACAGGUUAGUUGUGUGUUCUUUUACAGGUGCUAGCCAAAGAAUUUUUACCAGUUGUGAGGUGGUAUGUGAUAAACAUAAAUGCAAAAGAAGCAGCCAGCAGGUGUAAGGUACUUUGUUACACACUCCUCGCCUUCCUAUCUUCUUGUUGACUACUGCAACGUGAAGCUAAUGACCAUGGAGAAGAAUCAAUCAUUUGAAGCACGAGGUAGCCAGUGUCGGGGAAUAUCAGUACUCCAAGUGCAUAAUAAUGCAAGUACGAUAUCUCCCCUUCUUCCCAGUGGCUGCAGAGACUCGACUUCCAUACUGUUUCAGAGAAAAGGAGGCCGGUAAAUAUAAUGUUAAGAGAGGACGUGAUCAGGAAAAAGAAGAUUCUGACCCACAUAAUGAGUUGGAUUAAGUCUACCCAAAAGAGCAGUGCUUGUGAGAUUCAAAUAUUAUGACUGUCUUCGAAUCAGGCUCUGUUGUGACUGCAAUUCUGCUUCCUGUAAUAGGUAUGUUUCUGUAACACAUGCGCUUUUCUUCUGCCAGAUGCCAGGAGUUCUGUAUCUUGUUCACUCAGAGGCUAAAAAAAAGUCUGCUCAAACAGACGGUCAGUUCAGAUUGUGCUCAGCUACAUGCCUCUUUGUGGAGGCCAAACAGAAGCGAUGUCAACUUUUGGGUUGUUUUAGUUAGUGGUGGUGAGUGGGGAUAUGAAGGACAGUCCUGAAGGCAUUAUGUCAUUCUUUGUAUGCUAAUUUCUCUGACCGCCUAAGCAUAAAUGAAUUCUUUAUUGUUCUUCUCAAGAAAAAGGUUAUUUGUGAGCAUGGCAGCUAACGCUGUUUAAUAAUGCAGUAUAUUCUAGCCACAGACUUUUUAGUGAGUUAUAUCUGGUCAUGGUUAAGCAUUUGGGUUUCCUCUGACUCACUUCUAGUAUACGUCAAAAUACAAUUUAAUCAGAAAAUUGAGAUCGCUUGAAGUGAAAAACAAAAGCAUUGCAUGGAAAAUGAGCACACAUCUUAACACUGUAGAAUUCUGCUAGCCCUUUACACAAAUUCUCCUGAAUAGUGAAAGUGAAUACCACUUUCUAAAAAUGAGAAAGAAACCUCUGUAAAACAUAAACGUAAGAUUCAGUGCUGUCAAAUUACAUUUUUGGCAAAAGAUGUGUACUAGCAACUGUAUAAUCAGCACUUCUUAUAGGAUCCUUCAAGAUCAAUUACACUUCCCAUUGAGAAAGAAGUGGUAAAAAGUGGCCUUGAAAUAGUAGUAGCUCAUUCUGUGUCUCACCUUAUGAGUGGAUAUAAAGACAGAAAUCAGAAAAAUACCUUACUGAAAAGGCAUUAGGAUUAUCUUCAUCAUAUUGCUUGGAAUGAACUUCAGGUGGUAGUGGUGAUCUUAAGAAUUGAAUUAAAGCAAAAUAAGGUAGGUGAAGGCAGUACAGUUGCUAAGAGUAUCCCCGAGACUCUGCCCAGGAACACUUGAAGCUACAUUAAUGAUUUGGAGCUUUCCAUUUCUGCCAGGUCUCUAAAAAGCUAAUUGAGAAGCACUCUCUCAUUUUUCAAACAUCAAAACUGUAGCUGACUUGGUUUUCAAGAAUUGUACUUCCUGUUGACACAAUGAUAAGGGUGUCUGAUAAUACUACCAAUUACUCAGUAUAUGCUUCAAAAUACUUUACAAAGGCAGCUAUUCUCAGCUUAUAUUUUGGGGGAUGUAAGGCACAAAGAGUAAAAGUUGUAUGAUUGAACUUCCCCUGCAAGCCAUCCUGAGAUUUACCCUGAGUUUGCUUAUCUACUUUAUAAG